rnacentral:rRNA from 1 species
AAACCAACAGGGAUUGCUCUAGUAACGGCGAGUGAAGCAGCAAUAGCUCAAAUUUGAAAUCUGGCGUCUUCGACGUCCGAGUUGUAAUUUGUAGAGGAUGCUUCUGAGUAACCACCGACCUAAGUUCCUUGGAACAGGACGUCAUAGAGGGUGAGAAUCCCGUAUGCGGUCGGAAAGGUGCUCUAUACGUAGCUCCUUCGACGAGUCGAGUUGUUUGGGAAUGCAGCUCUAAAUGGGAGGUAAAUUUCUUCUAAAGCUAAAUACUGGCCAGAGACCGAUAGCGCACAAGUAGAGUGAUCGAAAGAUGAAAAGCACUUUGGAAAGAGAGUUAAAAAGCACGUGAAAUUGUUAAAAGGGAAGGGAUUGCAACCAGACUUGCUCGCGGUGUUCCGCCGGUCUUCUGACCGGUCUACUC